GCUAAUACCGAAUGACGUAUGUUUCCUGCAUGGGAAAGAUACCAAAGAUGGCCUCUACUUGUAAGCUAUCGCAGAAAGAUGGGCCUGCGUCUGAUUAGCCAGUUGGCGGGGUAACGGCCCACCAAAGCGACGAUCAGUAGCCGGUCUGAGAGGAUGAACGGCCACAUUGGGACUGAGACACGGCCCCAGACUCCUACGGGAGGCAGCAGUGGGGAAUCUUCCGCAAUGGGCGCAAGCCUGACGGAGCAACGCCGCGUGAGUGAAGAAGGUCUUCGGAUCGUAAAGCUCUGUUGAGAGGGACGAAUGCCGCUUCUGUGAACAAUGGGAGCGGAUGACGGUACCUUUCGAGGAAGCCACGGCUAACUACGUGCC
rnacentral:rRNA from 1 species